rnacentral:sRNA from 1 species
AACAAACAAACCACCUGUGUUUACGGGGGUUUGGGACAGGGAGGUCUGAUGCUAAGGUCCUUUCCCCCAAUUGGUUCUCGAUCUGUCAGUAAAGAAGCUAUGGACCAAUUGCUCGGUGGAAGGGAUAGGCGGGACUUCCUGUUCCCGAGAGGCAAGCCAACAGAUUCAAGGGAGGAAAGGAGCUGAGGCAGGAGCUCCAGGCGGGAACCCGGAAGUGAAGUGGAAACCAAGAUGGAAUGCUGCUUACUGGAUUGUUACCAGGCAAUCCCUGUGAAAGGUUGACCCCCAAAGGCAUCGAAGCCCAUGGAUUGAGAACCUCUGAUAUAAACAGAUAGAGCCUAACUCCUAAUGCCAUUGUGCCUCAUGCCAAAGAAACAAUUUCUGAGAGGACAGUGGCACCAUAUAUUUAUUACUUCAAGUGAGUGAACAGUCAGCUUAAAAUGUCACUUCAAUUCAACCCAACUCAAGUGGUGCAAGACAAGGCCAGUGACACUGUCACCUUCUGUAAAAGGCCCCAUCCCCUUCUCAUGGGCACAGCUUUCUUCUUUCCUUAAAAAUUUGCCAAGGGUGUCUCUGGCCACGAUGUCUUUUUUCUCCCAGCAGCAUCUACUUUUAUUAAAAUGUAUUUAUCACACCAAGCUGGUAUGAUGGGGAACUUCUUUACUCUCAGUUGGGAGGUGGAAACAAGAGGACCAAAAGUUCAAGGUCAUAGUGCUUACAUAGAAAGUUUGAGGAUAUCCUAGACUACAUAAAAUACACCAACAGUCCAAUUAAUGUCAGAUGCCAGGAAAUUCCUGUGUUUAUCUAUUCAUUUUAAAACACUAUUUUUACAACUUAUUAAAGAUGAAAUACAACAGGGUUGAUGCUAUCUAUUCAAAAGACCCCCCC